ACUACGGGCGGCAGCAGUGGGGGAUAUUACACAAUGGGGGAAACCCUGAUGCAGCGACGCCGCGUGUGGGAAGACGGUCCUCUGGAUUGUAAACCACUGUCCCCAGGGACGAAGAUGACGGUACCUGGGGAGGAAGCUCCGGCUAACUACGUGCCAGCAGCCACGGUAAUACGUAGGGAGCGAGCGUUGUCCGGAAUUACUGGGUGUAAAGGGAGCGUAGGCGGGACUGCAAGUUGGGUGUCAAAUCUACCGGCUCAACCGGUAGCCGCACUCAAAACUGCAGUUCUUGAGUGAAGUAGAGGCAGGCGGAAUUCCUAGUGUAGCAGUGAAAUGCGUAGAUAUUAGGAGGAACACCAGUGGCGAAGGCGGCCUGCUGGGCUUUUACUGACGCUGAGGCUCGAAAGUGUGGGGAGCAAACAGGAUUAGAUACCCCGGUAGUC
rnacentral:rRNA from 1 species